GCUAAAAAGCAUAUGCCAUAUUAUACUCUUUUCCAAUACCAUUUUUGGCUUGGAGUUGCUACGAGGGGCGGGAGCUGGGGCGGGACGCCCUGAUCACACCAAUUAAAAAUAUUUUCAUGUUCCACACGAGUUACACUAGAAGAUUAUUUUCUUUUAUCUAUGAGUUACACGCAUGAGUUACACGUAGGGUUCAUGAAUCAUCCCUAAUGCAAUCCCUACGCAAUUCCUAUUGAUUCCAUGGGGUAAUCCAUAUCCAUAGACAAACAGUAAAAUUAAAAGACUGCCAGAAGACAUACGACGCGCAGGCAAAUGUUCCUGUAGCGCAUCGACGUAGUUAAUCCCACUUAUACUUUUCCAAAUUUCCAUACUGUUAGAGAAACAUCAGAGAUAGACAGAUAACAGAAGUAAUUGAGAAACAUCUGGAGAAACAUAAAAAAUUAUGAGAAUAUCGUAUGGUAACAGUAUCUCGUUUUCAUUCUUUGAUAGAUGAUUAUUAUUAAUUUAAUGAUUAAAAAUAAUUUUGUUAUGAUAAUAAAAAUAUUUUGCUAGAUAUAAUUAACCUUAAUAGUAAAGUGUUUAUUUUGUUUUUAGUGUUUUAAGUAGGUUUUGUUUUAGACAUGUUAAUAAAUACCACCAAGAGAACGGUGUCUUUCUGUGUCCUUCCACAAAAGAGGGGACCUGGAUCAUCCUCUAUCUUUGAUGUUCGGCUAUCGAGGACCUGCAUAGCAUACAUGGGUACCCAAGGAAGUUUACCACCCUCUACGUCUAGGAGCCGGUUGAUGCUUAAUCUUCGACCAAGGGUUAAAUCAGCUGCAGGAAGAUGAAUACGCAUCAGGAGACAAAGAUUUAUGAUAAAUGGAGGCUAGCAUGACAUAGUUUAGCUCUUUCUUGUAUUUCUAAUCACUACUUUACAAGGAAUUAAAAGGAUGAAAAAUUUAUGUUUUUUUCUCAGAGUUUUUGUGGAAAUCUGCAUUUGGUCUUCAAGGAGCUAUUUGAAUGGUACUUGACAACACGGCACUGCAAAUAUUACCACACUGAGACACUGGCUGUGUCAAACAAUUUUCACCCUUAAAAGAUGUUUUCCCACUACUUCUGUUCUCAAUAUUAGAAAGAAUAUUCUGUGGCAAUGUGCAGGUGGUUUUCAACAAGCACUUAUAGGAAUGGAAUGUAUCAACAGUACCAUGCAGGAACUACUUUGCCGAGAUAUAUACUGAUUUCAGGCAACUAUUCGUCUUAAAAAGAUGUUUAUGGUACUGGUUCCGUAACAACUGCAGCUGUUAUUGGUACUCCUAUUUAUUUGAUCCUCCUGCGUAUUCCCCAUUGAAGAUGUAGAACAGAACGCGGACUUAGGAUAGGGACACUUCAUUUUGCUCACACUGAUCUCAUUUUUUUAAUUCUAUGAUUUUUUUAAGGUAAAAUUUAGAUAAAAUGAUUAAAUUCUAUAAUUCGUACAAACGCCAAUGUUUUUAUAUAAUUUAAGUUAAAAUCCAAAUAUUUAUUUUUUUAAAACUAGUAUAUCGUCUAGAAUAUAUUUUAGGUAAUUCUAGUUGUAAAAAAUUAUGGAAUUUAAAAUUAUCUAAAUUGUAUUUAUGAUUAUUUGCAGUGUUAACCCAACAGUGUUCCACACAACCUGUUCAGAAAGUGGAAAGUUAUUUCAAAAUACAACAUAAUAGAAAAUAAAUAUUUUAAAUUGGAUCCCAAAAUAAUUUUUAAUGGACCAGUUCUGUGGACACUCUGUAUGUCAUAUACUGUUAUAUAAGCGAUUCUCUCUCUAAAAAAAGGAUUUUAAAUUCAUAUUUUUUAUAUCGGCAUUAUAAAAGCAAAAGUGUAUUAAAUGGCGAAUGCGCCAGGAAAGGAGAAUAUUGAAAUUCAUAGAUUUUUUAAAAAAAUGUAAAAGUAAGAUUGAGAUAUGAUAAAUUUUGUAAUUUAAAUAUUAAUUUCAAUAUAAAUGCGUUUAUUUUUAUAUAUUUUAAGCAACAAUAUUUUAAUUCAACCGGAAUAAUAUUUGAAUAUUUGUUAAACUAUCUUUUCUGAAAUAUGUCUUAGUUAUAAAAAAUUACAGGAUUCAAAAUUAUCUAAAUGUUAUUCAACGAUCAUUCGCAAUUUUAAUGCUUUAUAAAAGAAUACGGGGUUUUCCACACAACUUGUUCAGAAAGUUGAAAAUGUAUUAAAAAGAAAAUAUAUUUCAAAAUACAACUUAAUAAAAAAUAAAUAUUUUGAAAUGGAUUCCAAAUUAAUUUUUAAUGGAUUUGUUGUGUGGGCACUCUGUAUAUGUCAUAUACCGUUAUAUUAGUGAUUCUUUCUUUAAAAGAAGAAUUUUUAAUUGAAAUUUUUUAAAUGGCAUUAUAAAAGCAAAAUUUUACUAAAUGGCGAACGCGCCAGGAAAAUAAAAUAUUCAAAUUAACAGAUUUUUUAAAAAAUCUAAAAAUAAAAUUGAGAUAAGAAAAAUUUUGUAAUUUAAAUAUUAAUUUGAGUUUAAAAACUAUCUUUUCAGAAAUAUGUCUUGGUUCACUUUUAGUUAUAAAAAAUUACAGGAUUCAAAAUUAUCAAAGUUUUAUUUGUUAAAUCGUCUGCAAUA
rnacentral:lncRNA from 1 species